rnacentral:tRNA from 1 species
ACCUGGUUGGCUCAGUAGGUUGAGUGUCUGACUUCAGCUCAGGUCAUGAUCUCACAGUUUGUGAGUUCGAGCCCCAUGUCAGGCU